CUGUAAAGUUGCUUUGCAACGAUUUGUAUCGUAAAAAGUGUUAUACAAAUAAAAUUGAACUGAAUAAAUUGAAUUGAAUUGAGUUUGCUUCAAUGGCUGGCAGAUCAAAGUUAUCAGCCAUGUUUCAAAUAACUUGAUUUAACGUAGAGCACAUUGAUAUUAUACUUGACCGUAAUAAAUAUGCCUUAAUGCAGAGCGUGUGAAGUGAUAACUGACUCAGAUGAAGACAACACCAUCUACCAUGUUGUCACCCCCUCUGUGACUAAACGAGGCAAAGUCCAGGACUUCAUCCUCCUGGUCUCCAGGAGGCGCCCUUGUGAUUCUGGACCCUUAUUUGAAUGCCCUGCGUUCUGUGACCCUGCCUGCGUACCCUCCCAUUGAAGACUACAACAGAGGAGAGGUGCUGUGUGCUGGGUUCAGUAUCUGGGAGGAGGAAAACCCUUUCACUAAGAUCUAACUUCACCAAGUGAGUACAUUCCGUCAGAUCUUCGAUCCUAUAAUCUAAUGGUAAAA